rnacentral:rRNA from 1 species
CACGUAGGGGGCGAGCGUUGUCCGGAUUUAUUGGGCGUAAAGAGCUCGUAGGUGGCUUGGUAAGUCAGGUGUGAAACCUCCAGGCUCAACCUGGAGACGCCACUUGAUACUGCCAUAGCUAGAGUCCGGUAGGGGGAGCGUGGAAUUUCUGGUGUAGCGGUGAAAUGCGCAGAUAUCAGAAGGAACACCAGCGGCGAAGGCGGUUCUCUGGGCAUUACCUGACGCUGAGGAGCGAAAGUGUGGGGAGCGAACAGG